UUUAGAUGUAAAUUAUUAUAACCUAGGUAGUAUUAGUUAGGAUCUUGAAACUUAAAGAAUUUGGCGGUAUUUUAGUCUAUUUAGAGGAAUCUGUCCCUUAAUCGAUAAUCCACGUUGUACCUUACCAAGAUUAUAUAUGUAUACCGCCGUUAUAACGAAAAUCUUCUUAGGGUUAAAUAAUUUUCUAGAUUUAUUAUUUAAAAUUUAUUUCAGGUCAAGGUGCAGUUUAUAUUUUGGUGGAGAUGGAUUACAUUUAUUUUUAUUUUUAUUGAAUUAUUAUUUGGAAUUAAUAGUAUGAAAUUGGAUUUAAUUGUAAUUUUUUAUAGAUUGUAAAUGUGAUUAUAGCUCUAUAAUAUGU
rnacentral:rRNA from 1 species